GUAAGCAACGUGCCCUGAAGACUGGGAUAUACCGGGGAAACCCGGAGCAAUACCGGAUGUGGCCGCGACCUCGCAUGGGGACGCGACUAAAUGGUUUUUCGCUUCAGGAGCGGCUUACGCCAUAUCAGCUAGUUGGUGGGGUAACGGCCUACCAAGGCUUCGACGUGUAACUGGUCUGAGAGGAUGGCCAGUCCGAGUGGGACUGAGACACGGCC
rnacentral:rRNA from 1 species